GAGAUACGACAUAAAACUAGGGCUGUUAGGAUAUUUUCUCUCUCGGCAAAAAAUAGGGUUUCAACAAAGUAUUGAUUUUGCAGCUUCAGCUUUAAACUUUCCACAGUCCAGAUUAAAACUCCCCAAUGGUCGGAAGAAGUCGGCGAGGAUCCCAAACCAGGUUCUGUCAAAGGUCACUCCAUGGAUAGAAGCUUCUAAAGGUUGUUGACAACCACAAUUCAAUUCUGCUCUCAUUGAGUUGUAUCCAGUUCUCGAAGUUACCAGUGAUAUAGGUACUCAAUAUAAAUUAUAUAAUGAUUGGUUAUAACCUAUAGCUUCCGUACAAAAGAAGUAGUUGGAAAGACCAACACUGUACCAAAAAUACAUGGGGGAAUUUCUGUGCUUUUGUUGGCCUUUUUGGCGUCUCGGGCUCCCUGUUUGGAGUCUCCUCAACCAUCAAACCGUAUCUUCUGUCUUCAUGACACUACUACCAGGUGGUUGGACUUCUAUAUCUCAUGCUAUGAGCCUAUGAGGACUUAAUUGUUUAGUUUAGAACAGGGUUUAAAAAGUGCUGAGGCCUUCACUAAAUGCAUGAGGCGACC